CUAAGUACCCCGAGGAAAAGAAAUCAACCGAGAUUCCCUCAGUAGCGGCGAGCGAACGGGGAUUAGCCCUUAAGCAUCUUGGAAGUUAGUGGAACGGUCCUGGAAAGGCCGGCGAUACAGGGUGAUAGCCCCGUACACGAAAACAACCUUGAUGUGAAAUCGAGUAGGGCGGGACACGUGACAUCCUGUCUGAAUAUGGGGGGACCAUCCUCCAAGGCUAAAUACUCCUGACUGACCGAUAGUGAACCAGUACCGUGAGGGAAAGGCGAAAAGAACCCCUGUGAGGGGAGUGAAAUAGAACCUGAAACCGUGUACGUACAAGCAGUGGGAGCCCUUCGGGGUGACUGCGUACCUUUUGUAUAAUGGGUCAGCGACUUACAUUUUGUAGCGAGGUUAACCGUAUAGGGGAGCCGUAGGGAAACCGAGUCUUAACUGGGCGUCUAGUUGCAAGGUGUAGACCCGAAACCGGGUGAUCUAGCCAUGGGCAGGUUGAAGGUUGAGUAACAUCAACUGGAGGACCGAACCCACUAACGUUGCAAAGUUAGGGGAUGACCUGUGGCUGGGGGUGAAAGGCCAAUCAAACUCGGAGAUAGCUGGUUCUCCCCGAAAGCUAUUUAGGUAGCGCCUCGGACGAAUACUACUGGGGGUAGAGCACUGUUUGGGCUAGGGGGUCAUCCCGACUUACCAACCCCAUGCAAACUCCGAAUACCAGUAAGUAAUAUCCGGGAGACACACGGCGGGUGCUAACGUCCGUCGUGAAGAGGGAAACAACCCAGACCGCCGGCUAAGGUCCCAAAGUUCUGGUUAAGUGGGAAACGAUGUGGGAAGGCUCAGACAGCUAGGAUGUUGGCUUAGAAGCAGCCAUCAUUUAAAGAAAGCGUAAUAGCUCACUAGUCGAGUCGGCCUGCGCGGAAGAUGUAACGGGGCUCAAACCAGGCACCGAAGCCGCGGAUUCACGCUAAGCGUGAGUGGUAGGGGAGCGU
rnacentral:rRNA from 1 species